CAACGUGGGUAACCUGCCCAUCAGAGGGGGAUAACAUUCGGAAACGGAUGCUAAAACCGCAUAGGUCUUCGAACCGCAUGGUUUGAGAGGAAAAGAGGCGCAAGCUUCUGCUGAUGGAUGGACCCGCGGUGCAUUAGCUAGUUGGUGAGGUAACGGCUCACCAAGGCCGUGAUGCAUAGCCGACCUGAGAGGGUGAUCGGCCACAUUGGGACUGAGACACGGCCCAA
rnacentral:rRNA from 1 species